rnacentral:rRNA from 1 species
GUGAGGAAUAUUGGUCAAUGGACGCAAGUCUGAACCAGCCAAGUAGCGUGCAGGAUGACGGCCCUAUGGGUUGUAAACUGCUUUUGUCAGGGGAUAAAGUCAGUCACGUGUGACUGUUUGCAGGUACCUGACGAAUAAGGACCGGCUAAUUCCGUGCCAGCAGCCGCGGUAAUACGGAAGGUCCGAGCGUUAUCCGGAUUUAUUGGGUUUAAAGGGAGCGUAGGCGGACUGUUAAGUCAGUCGUUAAAUCGCGUGGCUCAACCACGCUCAGCGAUUGAAACUGUCAGUCUUGAGUGCACAAGAGGCAGGUGGAAUUCGAGGUGUAGCGGUGAAAUGCUUAGAUAUCUCGAAGAACUCCGAUUGCGAAGGCAGCUUGCUGGGGUGCAACUGACGCUGAUGCUCGAAGGUGCGGGUAUCAAACAGG